CCUACGGGUGGCAGCAGUGGGGAAUAUUGGACAAUGGAGGAAACUCUGAUCCAGCGACGCAGCGUGAGUGAAGACGUAUUUCGGUAUGUAAAGCUCUAUCAGCAGGGGAGAAAAUGACGGUACCUGACUAAUAAGCCCCGGCUAACUACGUGCCAGCAGCAGCGGUAAUACGUAGGGGGCAGGCGUGAUCCGGAUUUACUGGGUGUAAAGGGAGCGUAGACGGUGCAGCAAGUCUGAUGUGAAAGGUCGGGGCCCAACCCCGGAAUUGCAUUUGAAACUGUUGAACUUGAGUACAGGAGAGGUAAGCGGAAUUCCUAGUGUAGCGGUGAAAUGCGUAGAUAUUAGGAGGAACUCCAGUGGCGAAGGCGGCUCACUGGACUGUAACUGACGUUGAGGCUCGAAAGUGUGGGGAGCAAACAGGAUUAGAUACCCUUGUAGUC
rnacentral:rRNA from 1 species